GUGGGACUUCCUGGGAGAAGGUGAAAGGUCCUGACCUCAGGCCAGGGCCAGCGCCCCUGUGAGCACUGAUCCGGGAGCAGAUUACAAGGGAGACUGGAGCCAAAUCAGCUUUGAAAAAGAGCCGGUUCCGGGUGUGAAUGGGGAUGAAGAGGAGAGAAGAGCUUCCUGACCUCCAGGGCAGCACAUUCCCGGGGGUGAAAGAGACAGUAAACAACCCUAGACCAGAAGCUCCGUGGGGACAGGGACUCUUGUCUGCUCUGUGCCAUGCUGUCACCCCAGCGCUUAGCAGGUGCCUGGCGCGUGGGAGGUACGCACUGCCUCGAUGUCGAAUGUGGCACCAGGAUGUGGGCCCAGAACUCCCAGACCCGAGACCGAGGGGUGCGUAACAGAGAAACGGUCCACCUCAUCUGUCCCACCCCUGCUCCCUCCCCAGAUGAUUCCCUCCCAUCCAGGAGCCUCUGCUCCACGUGGACGGCCCCCUGCUGCCUGGAAUCCCUUCUCUGCGCAGCCCACACACUCCCUGAGCUCUCCACUGCUCUCUCCUUCCUGAUGAGGGGCGGCUGGAAGAAUGCUGACAGAAUCCAUCCAAGGAAAUCUUGUCGGACGCCUGCAGCGCUUCGAGCUGGAUGUAAGGACGGGGGUGCUAGGAGGUCGACAUGCGCCGCUCUGCCCCCAUCACUCCAUGCAGCCCACUGAGGGCCUCGGCAGGGGCAGGUGCCUGCUGGCCAGGAUGCUGGCUGGACACGCGCCUGAAAAGACACAGUUGUAUUCCUCACGACUCACGUGUAGUUGGCCCCAAAACGAUUGCUCAUGAGCUCAGUCGUAUCUAAGUAGUCAUUAAUUUCCAUUAGAGUUGCUGGAGAGAGCGGCAGGGCUUCUAUUAAGGGAUAAGUUUCCAGCCUCAAGCUGCUAAUCAAUAGAACGAGUGCGUCAUUACACACCGCAGAGCUCCGUGAGCUCGUUCGUCACGCCAAUAAAACGACGCGGCCCUGACGCAGCGUCGGAGUCAGGGGCUGGCCCGCUGGUCUGCGGCCGUGCAAGCUGGGGCCGAUAGCAGGAAGCCCGGAGCACGUUUGCUGAGCGUGCAGACCAGUGGGGUUGAGGGUCGUGGGGGUGCUGCUGGGAGGCAGCCCACGGGACUCGGGGACUGAUCGGAUGUGGGUUUGAGGGGGAGAAAGGCGUCAAGGACGACUCACAAAUGUCUGGCCUGCACAUCUGGGGACAGAUGGACAACGAUGGCCGUCACAAAUCGAAGCCAGAGGACAGGGCUGGCCACACCGCAGAGAGCCAGAGAUCAGAUCUGCUGGAUGGCUUUGUGCAAAUGCUGUCACCUCUCUGAGCCUCCGUGUUCUCAUCUGUCAGAAAGGAUUCAGAAUCUCUGCCUCGACAGCACCUCUGCGAGUGAGAGCAUGCAUUGAAAAGUUCAUAACACCGUCAACUUAAGAUUCAUGCUUUUAAUAAAUUCUGACUUAAAUUGAAUUAGCAUGGCCCGACUCUUAGGCACUGGGCACAGAGUGGGCAAGGACUCAUGUGGCUGUGCAAAUUCUGCUUGUAUAAGAAACACUUACGAAGUGCCCUUGGUGAUGCAGUCACGUCUCAAGAGGGCUUAGACCCUCCCUGCUGGGGUCAGAGCUCCCCCACUGGACUGGGGACACCAGAUGCUUUUAUACCAGCCCCACUGUGCUUCCUUCUAACCAGCCUGGGGAGGAGUGGCCCUCACAAAGGGUGGCCACAGACAGUCCACGUUCACAUCAAUGUAAGGAAUGGAAAACUGGCCCAGGCCUCAGGACCUACUGGUUCAUUCAAUUACUCACUCACUCAUUCGUUCACUCAUUCUUCUAGUCACUCAUUCAUUCAUUCACUCCUCCAUUUAUUCACUCUAGUUAGGCAGGACGUGAAAAACAAGAACAAAGACAAAUAAAACUAGAAUAAAUUGCCUAUAUGUUAAGAAGAAAACCAACAAGGGGCUGAGAUAGCAAAUGACAGGGUCCCCACUUUGGGUGAGGUCGUCAGGAAAGUCGGAGGUGGUGACAAUCCAGCUGAGACCUGGACCAUGAACAGGAGGGCUCCGCAGGAAGCGGGGAGGGCAGGAACUCUGGGAAGGGGGAAGAGCACUGGCCAAGGCCCUGAGGUGGGAAAAGCUCAGUGUACCUGAGAACUGAAGUGACAGGGGCUAGAGUGGUGAGAUGGCGCUGCGGAGGGGGCCUGAGCCCGAUCUGCAGGAGGGGAGACUGGAGGACGGGGCAGGCUUGAGGUGAAUGGGACGGGUCACCCCCUCUGCACACCUGCGGAGGCCCCAGAGCCAGCCCCUUCCUUGGGUCCUGGGUAGAGAGGACAGGGCCACCUGGGAAUCCAGAAGCCUCUGCCCCAGCCCCCAGGCCUCCAGAUGGGACCCUCCAGCUGGCCUGGGCACGGGACCCUGCAGGGCUUGGGUGAAGCGAGACCUACCAGCGGCAGCUCCAGUCUGCCCUUCCCGAAUGCCCUUCCAAAACAGCUGGGUGACACCAGAACCUCGAAAUCCUAUUGGGGCAGCUGGAGGCAAACACAGCAGUGGCGGAUCAUACCACGCAGAGAGGGCUCAUGCGCGAGGGGCCAGAGGUCCCGCAUGCCCAGCCAAAGGCGCAGUCAGGAAAAUUAAGACAGAAGUCCCACCUCAGCCCCACAACCCAAAUAUUUCAUAAGAACCCUCCCUUCCCCUUCU